rnacentral:lncRNA from 1 species
CUUCUGCCUUUGUUAAAGUCUGACCUCAGGUCUUCCAGGAGCUUAGAUCCUGCUGCACAGAACAUGAAAGAUGGACCCGUCAAGGAGAAGAGAGGAAUCUUCUGGGGAGUAUGGGGGAGCAGAGCAUGUGACCCCUGUGCAGCUGCUUCCUCUUAGAGUUUUCACCCAUGAAUCACACAUUCAACUUCCCGGAAGACGCAGGACGGCCCGACCUACAGAGCAGUAUGGGUACUGUCCAUGCUCAAGACCCUUGGGAUCUAAAGCUGUCACUUGGCAUCAACACUGGCAAAGCAAGAUGGUGCAUGGAGAUGCAGUCAUGAUACACAUGAUCUGACCUGGGUCAUAUCUGUCCUUCUGUCCAUCCAUCCAUCCAUCUGCCCACCACAGAAGAUUGUGUAGCAGACACACCAGGAAUGUGAGCCACACAGUUCUCAAAUAUCCAC